AGUCUCCACUCCAUAAUGGGUCAGAGAACAUAAAGAGCCCUCUGGAGAAGUGCUGGUUUGUUCUCCUUGUGUGCUACUUGUUCUUAAAUUUCCAGUGGGAUGUGCUUCUGUGUAACUGACUCCCUUGGCCCUGCAAGGCUGCUACAAGGUAUGAGGUGAGGGAAGAGCUGUGUCCCUGCUGCCUUGUUUCUUCAUAACUCAGGAAGUCUCCGCUUGAGUCAUAGCAAGCAGCUCAGAUGCAGCCCCAGAGAAUGGGCCAAUUGAGUGCAGCUCCUGCUUCCCACCUAAAUUACCGCUAGAAGUGGACAAAAAGAAAGGAAAUGAAAAGACUAAAUGUGAUCAGCUUCCGCUAUAUUUAUGAGCAGAUGCCUUUGUUAAGGACAAAUCCUAUCAAGAGGAGACAGUGUGUACUUCAACCCCCAGCUUCCACGUGGGUAUCCCUUUCAGGAGUGCAACAUACUUUUCAGAGACUUAGGAAUGGGUGGCACUUCUUUUUGUAUGUAUAAUUAUCCGUAAUCAUCCUAUCUCCAAAGUUACAUGUUACAAAACACACGAGUUCUGUUUCUAUAGAGAGAAUAACUAGAUAAUCCGAGGCGAAAAAAAGAAGUACCGUCUUUGAUGCACGUUUACUUCUGAAAUCUGCAUGCUGGCAGUAACUCAAAAACUAUAAUAAAGGAAAAAAUCUUUCUUUUCAUUUCCAUUUGCAAGGGUCAGUGAGAUGUUCUGUGUUUUGAAUGGAGCUGAAAUGAACAAUGUACAUUAUUUUUGUAACAAUAAUAUAUAUGCAGUGCGCCUUGCCUUUUUCCCUGCAUAUUGGAGCUGCUUACCUGAACUUGCAGAGCUGGCAAAAACUGUUAUAUUUUCAGAACUGUAGCUAAAGAGCAAGGAAAGAAGUAAGGGCUGUGGGGAAAAAAGAAGGAAGUUUUUAUUUAUUUAUUUAUUUUUUCCUGUGUAAACUUCUGGUGAUGCAGCAAAGAAUUUUUAAGCAGUUUCAAUAUGAGAAAUGUCUGCAAAAAGCUGCAUUUCGAGUAUCUGUGCUAUCACAAUAAUUUCUGCAUUGACUCCAUGUACUACUCAAACAAAAUCAAUGUGUGCAUACAAUAUAAAAAAAAUGAUUAACCUUGUAAAUAUAUCUUGGCAUCUGAG